GACGUAGGGUGCGAGCGUUGUCCGGAUUUAUUGGGCGUAAAGAGCUCGUAGGCGGCUCGUCGCGUCGACCGUGAAAACCCGCGGCUUAACUGCGGGCUUGCGGUUGAUACGGGCGGGCUAGAGUUCGGUAGGGGAGACUGGAAUUCCUGGUGUAGCGGUGAAAUGCGCAGAUAUCGGGAGGAACACCAGUGGCGAAGGCGGCACUCUGGGCCAGUACUGACACUGAGGAGCGAAAGCGUGGGGAGCGAACAGG
rnacentral:rRNA from 1 species